UAAUGCCAAGGUUUACGUCAUGAGUA
rnacentral:piRNA from 1 species